rnacentral:rRNA from 1 species
UAAACCGCACUGACGCUCAUGCACGAAGGCGUGGGGAUCAAACAGGAUUAGAUACCCUGGUAGUCCACGCAGUAAACGAUGAUUACUAGCUGUUUGCGAUACAAUGUAAGCGGCUGAGCGAAAGCGUUAAGUAAUCCACCUGGGGAGUACGUUCGCAAGAAUGAAACUCAAAGGAAUUGACGGGGGCCCGCACAAGCGGAGGAACAUGUGGUUUAAUUCGAUGAUACGCGAGGAACCUUACCCGGGCUUGAAAUGCAUCUGACCGGGCCGGAAACGGUCUUUCCCAGCGAUGGGCAGAUGUGUAGGUGCUGCAUGGUUGUCGUCAGCUCGUGCCGUGAGGUGUCGGCUUAAGUGCCAUAACGAGCGCAACCCUCAUCGUCAGUUACCAUCGGGUAAAGCCGGGGACUCUGACGAGACUGCCAUCGUAAGAUGCGAGGAAGGUGGGGAUGACGUCAAAUCAGCACGGCCCUUAUGUCCGGGGCGACACACGUGUUACAAUGGGCGGUACAGCGGGGAGCUACCUGGCGACAGGGAGCCGAUCCCGAAAGCCGCUCACAGUUCGGAUCGGAGUCUGCAACUCGACUCCGUGAAGUCGGAUUCGCUAGUAAUCGCGCAUCAGCCACGGCGCGGUGAAUACGUUCCCGGGCCUUGUACACACCGCCCGUCAAGCCAUGGGAGUCGGGGGUACCUGAAGUUCGUAACCCUUCGGGGAGCGACCUAGGGUAAGACCGGUGACUGGGGCUAAGUCGUAACAAGGUAAC